rnacentral:rRNA from 1 species
AACGAACGCUGGCGGCAUGCCUAACACAUGCAAGUCGAACGAGACCUCCCGGCCUAGUGGCGCUCGGGUGCGUAACGCCUGGGAAGUUGCCCUUGAGUUCCCAAUCCCUCCCUGAAAGGUAUGCUCAUACCGCUUAAUCUCUUCGCACCAAAGAUUUAUGGCCUUUGGAUGGGCCCGCGUUGGUUUCGCUAGUUGGUAGGGUAAAAGCAUACCAAGGCGACGAUCCAUAGCUGGUGUGAGAGGAUGACCAGCCACACUGGGACUGAGACACGGCCCAGACUCCUACGGGAGGCAGCAGUGGGGAAUAUUGGACGAUGGGCGAAAGCCUGAUCCAGCAAUGCCGCGUGAGUGAUGAAGGCCUUAGGGUUGUAAAGCUCUUUUACCCGGGAUGAUAAUGACAGUACCGGGAGAAUAAGCUCCGGCUAACUCCGUG